AUAUAAUAAAACACAAUCAAUUUUGAAUCCUUCUCCACUUAAAAAGUUGAGAAACCACAACAAAGGCUGAGAUUUCAUCUAAGUUAAUCUAAAGGUCAGAUUUCAAUUGAGACACAAAAAAAAAAAAAAAAAUUACCGCCCAAAUCAAAACCCCCACACUCUCCUUCCCGUGUACUCUUCUCCUCUCUGUCUCCUUAAAUGCCACUCUCUGAUUGAUAAUAACGUCACUCUCUUCCUCGCUUUGUCUGAUGAUAAUAACGCCACUCCUCUUCCUCUCUUUGUCUCUUUAACGCCACCCCCCAAAUCAAGAUUGCUUGCUAAGCGAACUCAACUCCGGUGAGUUACGUCGUCAUCAGACCACGGCGCCGGUCACAAGGUAUUCAUAAUCUCUCCGUCUCAUAAUGUCUUCAUUUGCAAAAUAUGAAUUCUCAUCAUCUCUACACUCUUAGGAGGUUCAAACCCUCUUUGUGUUAUGCCAUCUGCUAUACUAUUUCAUACCGACGGACCGUGAGAUUAAACCCUCUUUGUGUUUUGAUCUUUAAAUAACCCUCAAGGUGUUUGUCUUUAUGCCUGAAAGAAAAUAAACUAAGCAAACUGUUUUGGUGUUACUAAAGUUACUCUGUUUUGGUGUUUUGGGUUUUCCUGAAUCCAAAGCUUCAAAUUUUUGAUAUUUUUAAGAACUGAAAACAGAGUAUUCGGCUGGGUUUUAAGGUUGUCUCCGAAUUUUCAUUCCAACUCUGUUUUCAAGUUUGUUUUCUUCUUUAAUUUUUCAAUUUUGGGAAGAAAAGAAACUAUUUUGUCUUUCUUGGACUGGGUUUUCUUUAAUUUUAAUUUUAAUUUUUUUUUUUUAAAAAGAAAGUUCGGAUAGGGGGGAAUUACCUGCAUUUUUUUAUAUUGCAAGAAAAGGGCCUUACUAUGUUUAAAGCUACGUAACUCUAUUUUUUAACAUUUCUUUUUAAAAAAUUUGUUUUUGUUCCAAGUGAGUUAAAAGUUUAGAAUUUUUUAGGUACUCUUUUGGGACUUUAGUUUUUUUAUGCUAAUAUGCUAUUUUAGCAACUUCAUUGGAAGGGUUUAACUUCAUUAGAAUAUGUCCAAGUUAGCAGUUAUGUUUAAUAAUUUAAGUUUUAUAUUGGUUGCAUAGGAAUUCUAUAAUUUAAGUUUUAGGUUUAACUCGAGUUUGUUUUAGAAUUGAUUUCGCUUAUUUGAUCAGAGUUUGUAGAGUUUAAAAGGAUGUAGAAGUUCAAACCAAUUUACCUGUUUACUCAAUUUACCUAUUUACUCAAACAGCAUGUAGAAGUUCAAGCCAAAGAGCUCAUCUAGAGGAAACAACACAGAAAGAAGGUGCAAAAUGAUAAUGUAAGUUAACAUAUAUACUUAAUAGACAUUUAUUAGCAAGUUGGUGUUUUAUAAUCUCAUUUUUUCUAUUUGGCUGCUGACAUGAUUAUGUGACAUUACGGUGAGGAAUAUGUAGGAUCAUACAAUGAUAUAUUUUAAUAAAAAAUAACUAUAUAGUUCUUUAAAUAAUAUAUUUAAUAUCUAGAAAAAAGAGAGAAGAAAAUAAGUAAAAUAAAAA
rnacentral:lncRNA from 1 species